rnacentral:lncRNA from 1 species
UAAUUUAUGAUUCUAAUUGAUGCCUUAUGAUAAUGUGUUGGCAUGACUGGCUGGGAUUGUGGUUUGUGAACUAUAUGAAUUGUUCUGUUUUACAUUUAUAGGCUGGGUACUAUAAUAUUAGUCAUGUUAUGCUGUCAAAAUUUUAUUGUAUGGUGGGUUUAGCUUGCUGCAGUGGGCGGGUUCUGUGGACCAGCCUAUUAGAGGGGCACAAAAUUCGGUUAUAUACGAACCUCGAUUGGAGAGG